AGUUCUAUGGUGUAAUGGUUAGCACGCUGGACUCUGAAUCCAGCAAUCUGAGUUCAAAUCUCAGUAGGACAU
rnacentral:tRNA from 1 species